GCCACGACAUUCUUGACGUUGCUUAGAAAGAGGGAAGAUAGAGUUGAUGGGAAUAGGAAGAGAAGGAGGGAUGAUGGGAGAAAAGAACGCCUAAGAAACUUUUUAUGGGCCGCUGUGACCCACCUCUCCACCUCUCUUUCAUCUACAGGUGCUGAGGCCAGGGGAAGAUACCUUCACACUCUGUGGACAAAGAGGACGAGAAGGCUAACAUCCAUCACCACAGACCUGUCCACUGCUCCUGGCGAAGGAGAGGAGAAGAGCAAGAUAAAUCCCUUGUUUUGGGCUGUAAGAAUGCACGAUACAGCAUGCCUGACCUUGAACACUUCGGAAAACAUCUAUUUCCUGCUUAAGGUCAAAAAGAGGUUACAUUUCCCACAUCCUUUUCUAAAAAACAAUCUUUUUUGACACCCAUUCUCUCACUCAUUCUCACCAAAGCCACUUUUAAACUGGGGAAAAUUAGCCUACUCCAUAGCUUUGCUGUUUGUCAUUAUUUUACUGAUGGGGAGGGGGCAUAUAAACCAGCACACACACACACACACACACACACACACACACACACACACACACACACACACACACACACACACACACACACACACACACAGAAUAUUUAAUAUAUUUUUUUUUUUUUUAUUUUCAGCUCCAUUAUCAAGAGGAAUGGAUGUCAAUUAUUCAUAAAACACUUAGGGAAGGUGGUAACAUAAGAGUUUUAAAUUAUUUAACAUGGGAAAAUAUUCAGUUUAGAGGUACAAAUGAACGUGUUUGUAGUGAAAACAGAUUUUAUGUGCUAGUUAGCUUGUGUGUGUAUCAAAAGGCCUAAUCUUUCAUGUGUUUACCAGGUACACUUAUGUAAUCCAGUGAGGAAUGGCAGGAACGAACAAACAGAAAGGUGUGAGUAGAAGCUUACAAAUGUGCACACACACUUCAUGGUUGCAGACAUUGAAUAAGUGUCAGGGUAAACAGUAGUUUCUCUUGUAAACAGGAAUGGCUUUACGCAUACUUUGCAACACGUGUUCCACGCUAUCAUGACUGCGGGAACUUGCUCAAACGUGUAAGCUUGCAUUCCCUGUGCCUUUCAUUAUAGUGUUUAAUGAUCUUCUUUCUGGCUCUAUUUCUCAUCUCUCAUCUCCUUGACCUCUGUUUAAGCACUCUGCUAUGUUGACCCAUUAAUCAAGAUUAAAUGGAUACAGUAAUUCAACGAGCAACUUGCUUCAUUUUAACAUUACCUCAGUCAAGAUGACUACAGACUGAAAGAUAAAGCAAAAGGGAUCAUAUUGAAAUAUGAGUCCAGAUUAGAUUCACAAACAACAAGCAUGUAAUGGGUUAUCAAAAAGAAGAUUCUUACGCUCACCUCAGAAUGCAAACUCACACAAAAUCUCACUCGCAUCCACAGACAUCCAGACAUGUGCAUGAGGGGAAGAUUGUAAGGAAUGAUUUUCAGUGUGUUUUAGCUGGUGGAAAUAAACCAUAAAAGCUGACAGACAGUAAAAGCUGGCAGUAAAAGCUGGCAGACAGUAAAAGCUGUUAUUAUCAUGUUUCAGCAGCUUUAGCCACUCAGAGAGAAAGAAAAUGAGAGACAAGAUGAGAGAGAGAAUCUUUCCUCAAGUACACUUUAAA
rnacentral:lncRNA from 1 species